rnacentral:lncRNA from 1 species
CUAAUUUGUGACAUUAAGGAGUUUCGCAUUAACAGUUGUUUCAUGGACACUGGCCAGUCUACAAGCAGAGCACUCUCAUGGGGAGCACCAGAUGAGUUCCAGCCGCAGUUCUUUUAUAAGCUUUAAGUGCCUCAUGAAGACGCGAGGAUCUCUUCCAAGUGCAACCUGGUCACAUCAGGGCACAUUCAGCAGCAGAAGUCUGUUUCCAGUAUAGUCCUUGGUAUGGCUAAAUUCCACUGUCCCUUUCUCAGCAGUCAAUAAUCCAUGAUAAAUUCUGUACAACACUGUAGUCAAUAACAGCAGCACCAGACAGCAUAUUAAUUCUUUUACCAUAAAUUUGUGUGUAAUUAUAAUGUUCUAUGUGUGGUGUUAUCAAAAGAAUCACUGUGUCUCUAAAUAUCAUAUAUGUAUGUCUGGAUAAAUACAUUGC